ACUAGUAGUCCCAGGUGAGCCGGCAGAGACACACACUGGAUGGAUUCCCAGGUGAGCCGGCAGAGACACACACUGGAUGGAUUCCCAGGUGAGCCGGCAGAGACACACACUGGAUGGAUUCCCAGGUGAGCCGGCAGAGACACACACUGGAUGGAUUCCCAGGUGAGCCGGCAGAGACACACACUGGAUGGAUUCCCAGGUGAGCCGGCAGAGACACACACUGGAUGGAUUCCCAGGUGAGCCGGCAGAGACACACACUGGAUGGAUUCCCAGGUGAGCCGGCAGAGACACACACUGGAUGGAUUCCCAGGUGACCCGGCAGAGACACACACUGGAUGGAUUCCCAGGUGACCCGGCAGAGACACACACUGGAUGGAUUCCCAGGUGAGCCGGCAGAGACACACACUGGAUGGAUUCCCAGGUGACCCGGCAGAGACACACACUGGAUGGAUUCCCAGGUGACCCGGCAGAGACACACACUGGAUGGAUUCCCAGGUGAACCGGCAGAGACACACACUGGAUGGAUUCCCAGGUGACCCGGCAGAGACACACACUGGAUGGAUUCCCAGGUGACCCGGCAGAGACACACACUGGAUGGAUUCCCAGGUGACCCGGCAGAGACACACACUGGAUGGAUUCCC